UGAGUAACACGUAAGUAAUCUACCCUCGAGAUGGGGAAUAACGUUCGGAAACGGACGCUAAUACCGCAUAACGCAGCGGCACCGCAAGGUGACAGUUGUUAAAGGAGCAAUCCGCUUGAGGAGGAGCUUGCGGCAGAUUAGCUAGUUGGUAGGGUAAUGGCUUACCAAGGCUACGAUCUGUAUCCGGUCUAAGAGGACGGUCGGACACACUGACACUGAAUAACGGGUCAGACUCCUACGGGAGGCAGCAGUCGGGAAUUUUGGGCAAUGGGCGAAAGCCUGACCCAGCAACGCCGCGUGAAGGAUGAAGUAUUUCGGUAUGUAAACUUCGAAAGAAUAGGAAGAAUAAAUGACGGUACUAUUUAUAAGCUCCGGCUAACUACGUGCCAGCAGCCGCGGUAAUACGUAGGGAGCAAGCGUUGUUCGGAUUUACUGGGCGUAAAGGGCGCGUAGGCGGCGCGGUAAGUCACUUGUGAAAUCUCUGAGCUUAACUCAGAACGGCCAAGUGAUACUGCAGUGCUAGAGUGCAGAAAGGGCAAUCGGAAUUCUUGGUGUAGCGGGUGAAAUGCGUAGAUAUCAAGAGGAACACCUGAGGCGAAGGCGGGUUGCUAGGCUGACACUGACGCUGAGGCGCGAAAGCCAGGGGAGCAAACGGGAUUAGAUACCCCGGUAGUCCUGGCCCUAAACGAUGAAUACUUGGUGUCUGGAGUUUCAAUACUCCGGGUGCCGUCGCUAACGUUUUAAGUAUUCCGCCUGGGGAGUACGCUCGCAAGAGUGAAACUCAAAGGAAUUGACGGGGACCCGCAC
rnacentral:rRNA from 1 species